CACCAUAAUGGGGUCACUAUAAUAGGGUCACUAUAAUAGGAUCACCAUAUUGGGGUCCACAAUGGGGUCACCCUAAUGGGGUCACUGUAAUGGGGUCUCCAUAAUGGGGUCACCAUAAUGGAGUCCCUAUAGUAGGGUCCCCUCAAUGGGGUCUCCAUAUUGGGGUCCACAAUGGGGUCACUCUAAUAGGGUCACCAUAUUGGGGUCACCUCAAUGGGGUCACCAUAAUAGGGUCACCACAUUGGGGUCCCUCAAUGGGGUCACCAUAAUAGGGUCCCCUCAAUGGGGUCUCCAUAUUGGGGUCCCCUCAAUGGGGUCUCCAUAUUGGGGUCCACAAUGGGGUCACCCUAAUAGGGUCAUCCCAAUGAGGUUAUUAUAAUAGGGUCUCCAUAAUGGGGUCACCUCAGUGGGGUCACCAUAUUGGGGUCCACAGUGGGGUCACCCUAAUAGGGUUCCCUCAAUGGGGUCACCAUAUUGAGGUCACCACAAUGGGGUCACUAUAAUGGGGUCACCUCAAUGGGGUCACCAUAUUGGGGUCCCCUCAAUGGGGUCACUAUAAUAGGGUCACCUCAAUGGGGUCACCCUAAUAGGGUCACCAUAUUGGGGUCACUAUAAUAGGGUCUCCAUAUUGGGGUCACCCUCAUAGGGUCACUAUAAUGGGGUCACCAUAAUAGGGCCACCAUAUUGGGGUCCCUUAAUAGGGUCACCUCAAUGGGGUCUCCAUAUUGAGGUCACCACAAUGGGGUCACUAUAAUAGGGUCACCUCAAUGGGGUCUCCUCAAUGGGGUCACCAUAAUGGGGUCAUCAUAAUGGGGUCCCUUAAUGGGGUCCUCUCAAUGGGGUGACCAUAAUGGGGUCCACAAUGGGGUCACCACAAUGGGGUGACCGUAAUGGGGUCACCAUAUUGGGGUCCCUCAAUAGGGUCACCAUAAUAGGGUCACCUCAAUGGGGUCGCCAUAUUGGGGUCCACAAUGGGGUCACCCUAAUAGGGUCACCACAAUAGGGGUCACCAUAAUGAGGUCACCAUAUGUGGGUCCCUUAAUGGGGUCACCUCAAUGGGGUCACCAUAUUGGGGUCCACAAUGGGGUCACCCUAAUAGGGUCACCACAAUGGGGUCACCACAAUAGGGGUCACCAUAAUGGGGUCCACAAUGGGGUCACCCUAAUAGGGUCACCACAAUGGGGUCACCAUAAUAGGGUCACCACAAUAGGGUCACCAUAUUGGGAUCCCUGUAUUGGGGUCCACAAUAGGUUGCCCAUAAUGGGGUGCCCAUAAUAGUGUCAAAGCACUUGUGCAAAGCAGUGCAAGCUGCGUUGCAAUGAAGGACUCGUGCACACGAGCACUUGUGCAAGGCAGUGCACACUCAUUAUGAAGGAUCUGCGUUGCAAGGCACCGUGUGUUGCACACUUGUGCAAUGGAGCACACGAGCACUUGUGCAAGGCAGUGCACACUCAUUAUGAAGGAUCUGUGCAUUGCACGGCAAUGUGUGUUGCACACUUGUGCAAUGGAGCACACAAGCACUUGUGCAAGGCAGUGCACACUCAUGAAGGAUCUGUGCGUUGCAAGGCACCGUGUGUUGCACACUCGUUCAAUGGAGCACACGAGCACUUGUGCAAGGCAGUGCACACUCAUGAAGGAUCUGUGCAUUGCA
ensembl:lncRNA